rnacentral:tRNA from 1 species
AAAGUUUUAAGUUAAUUAAACUAUCAGCCUUCAAAGCUGGAAAUAAGAGAUUCUUAAACUUUA